rnacentral:rRNA from 1 species
UACGUAGGUGGCAAGCGUUGCCCGGAUUUACUGGGUGUAAAGGGCGUGCAGCCGGAGAGACAAGUCAGAUGUGAAAUCCACGGGCUCAACCCGUGAACUGCAUUUGAAACUGGUAGACUUGAGUGCAGGAGAGGAGAGUGGAAUUCCAUGUGUAGCGGUGAAAUGCGUAGAUGUAUGGAGGAACACCGGUGGCGAAAGCGGCUCUCUGGCCUGUAACUGACACUGAGGCUCGAAAGCGUGGGGAGCAAAUAGG